rnacentral:ncRNA from 1 species
GUGUAGAGGUUGCGUCGAUCAUGAGUAACCGGCGGGAUGUGACAGACACAGUGGAAUGCCGGCAAAGGGGAAAGACGCCGAAGAGAAAAGGCUGCUGGGCUUUUUUUCUGGGCAUAUGGUGAAGAAUCAUAUGACUGUCAUCCGGGUGGAUGGAGAGCUACCGA